rnacentral:rRNA from 1 species
UAAAAGAUUAAGCCAUGCAUGUCUAAGUAUAAGCGAACUUAUACAGUGAAACUGCGGAUGGCUCAUUAAAACAGUUUGAAUUUAUUUGAUGAAUGUAUGAGAAUACUACUUGGAUAACCGUAGUAAUUCUAGAGCUAAUACAUGCAACGACGCCCGACCGUUUCACUACGGAAGGGCUGUAUUUAUUGGAUACCAAAACCAUCCUUCCCUCGGGAAGUUUUGUUUGAUGAUUCACAAUAACUGAUCGGAUCGCCACUGUGUGGCGACAGGUCAUUCAACAUUCUGCCCUAUCAGCUUUCGAUGGCUGUGUAGUGGACAACCAUGGCCAUAACGGGUAACGGAGAAUCAGGGUUCGAUUCCGGAGAAGGAGCUUGAGAAUUGGCUACUACAUCUAAGGAAGGCAGCAGGCGCGCAAAUUACCCAAUCCCGAUUCGGGGAGGUAGUGACAAAAAAUAACAAUACCGGGCCUUUUUGGGCUUGGUAAUUGGAAUGAGGGAGAGUUAAACGGACCAUCGAGUAUCCAUUGGAGGGCAAGUCUGGUGCCAGCAGCUGCGGUAAUACCAGCUCCAAUAGCGUAUAUUAAAGUUGUUGCAGUUAAAAAGCUCGUAGUUGGACUUGUGUGCGCUGUCCGCGAGUGGCCUGCGCCCAAAAGGGCGUUUCGGUUCGGCCCCGGUGGCGCCUUGAAAUCUGCAGCUGGGGGGACGUUGGCCUUAACUGGUCGGCGACCGCACGCCGGCUGCUCGGUUACUGUGAGAAAAUUAGAGUGUUCAAGGCAGGCAUUGGGUGCAAUUGAAUACAUUAGCAUGGAAUAAUAAAAUAUGGCUCCUGCCGUAUUUUGUUGGUUUUGACUGGUGGGAGUAAUGAUUGAUAGGGACGGUUGGGGGUGCUAGUAUUGAGCGGCCAGAGGUGAAAUUCAUGGAUUCGCUCAAGACUAACUUAUGCGAAAGCAUUCACCAAGGACGUCCUCUUUAAUCAAGAACGAAAGUUGGGGGAUCGAAGACGAUCAGAUACCGUCGUAGUCUCAACCAUAAACUAUGUCGACUUGGGAUCGGCGGUAGUUUUUUCAUUAAGACACUGUCGGGACCACGGGAGAAAUCAAAGUGUCUGGACUCUGGGGGAAGUAUGGUCGCAAGGCUGAAACUUGAAGGAAUUGACGGAAGGGCACCACCAGGAGUGGAGCCUGCGGCUUAAUUUGACCCAACACGGGGAAACUUACCAGGUCCAGAGA